AAUAAAAGGGUUCGGCAUAUGCUUGCUCUCUCUCUCUUCUUGGACCCAUAAGGUCAGAGGAGCCAUCACAGAACCCCAAAGAAAAGGCUGCUUUGUUCUAAGUCACCGCUGCUGACCUGACAAAAAACAUGACAGUCAGAGACCAGAACAUUCCAGGUACCAUCCAGCACCUGCUCACUGGAGUCUCAGCCUUGAUGAUUGUCCCUCACUGACACUGAUGUUCACUCUCCCUCCCCUGCCCAGGCCCUUGUCUCUAGCCUCAGAGAUGCUGUUCCCAUCUACCAGGAAUUACUAAACCCUGAAGUGGACAUCUACUGCUGGGUCCAUAGCCAAGCUCAUGUGGAUUCUUAGUUCCCACCAGACAAUGCUGCAUAUGGGCUGAGGGAGGGUCCCACUAGAACCCCAGACCCUCGAUGGUGGCGCUUGAGCCCUGGGAGACUGACACCUGGAGGAGGUGGGGGUCCCUGGGUUUCUGGAGACCCAGACAGGCUGCCCUGGGCUCUGAAUGGCCGGAACCAGGCUGCCUGUGCCCAGGAGAAGGGGCUCCAGGGAGAGGGAAGAGCCCUGUGGGUCACCUGGAAAGGCGCUGAAUAAAGACCCCCUCCCUCCUUC